rnacentral:misc_RNA from 1 species
UCUCCGUUGGUGAGCCAGCGGAGGGAUCAUUACCGAGUUUACAACUCCCAAACCCAAUGUGAACGUUACCAAACUGUUGCCUCGGCGGGGUCACGCCCCGGGUGCGUCGCAGCCCCGGAACCAGGCGCCCGCCGGAGGAACCAACCAAACUCUUUCUGUAGUCCCCUCGCGGACGUUAUUUCUUACAGCUCUGAGCAAAAAUUCAAAAUGAAUCAAAACUUUCAACAACGGAUCUCUUGGUUCUG